rnacentral:rRNA from 1 species
UACGGAGGGUGCAAGCGUUAUCCGGAUUCACUGGGUUAAAGGGUGCGUAGGUGGGCAGGUAAGUCAGUGGUGAAAUCUCCGGGCUUAACCCGGAAACUGCCAUUGAUACUAUCAGUCUUGAAUACCGUGGAGGUAAGCGGAAUAUGUCAUGUAGCGGUGGAAAUGCUUAGAUAUGACAUAGAACACCAAUUGCGAAGGCAGCUUACUACCCGAAUAUUGACACUGAGGCACGAAAGCGUGGGGAUCAAACAGGAUAGAUACC